AAGAUAGCCAGUCAUGGAGGAUAAUGCUGCAGCUGGAGGUGGUAGCAGCAGGAGUGAGUUACUGUCCACAGGGAGGGAGCUGUUAAUGGAAUGUGGAAGGAUAAAGCCUGGAGAGGAGGCUGCCUUGACAGGGCAGUGACCUUCAGCUAAGGGACACAGCAGCCCUAAUCAGGCCUGCAUUGAGGCAGCAACAGAAAUAAAUCUUUGGUCUGCCAGGACUCUCCUUGCCAAAUCCAACCAGAUGCCCCAGGCACAGAUGUCUGCUGAUCUCUCCAAGGAAACCAGCCUCCCAGGUUGGAGCACUGAAGGUCUCUAGCAGAUGCACUAUUGUUUUUGCUGUGCUCUCUGGGAAGAGAAGAGGUAGGUGAGGAACAGUUUCCAGGCUUCUACCUGCCACUUUCUCCAACAAUCCACAGGCUGGGGAAGCAAUGCAGUGUCCAGAUGUGCUGAAUUACUGCAGGCCACUGUAGAAAUGAGUAGGUCACAGUCACCAUGGUCUAAACCUUCUCCUGCUGGGGCUGCAGCCAGUAUCACCUUCAAACUUCAACAGCCCCAGUGGAUCUCACCCAGAUCCAGCCAAUACUUUCUGCCACCAGGAGGGUAUGCCCUUUUACCAGCAGUGCCUGGCUGAACUCCUCUGUGUUCAUCUGUGAUAAAGCUCCUCUGGUGCAUCCUGUUUACUAGUCCAGCUUGCUGAGAGGUGCACUCCCGUGCAUCUGCAGGAUCUAUAUUCUCUGGUCUCCUAGUCUGUGCCAGCUUUAUUUCUGAUGCCAGUGAGACAAGGAUAACAGCCCAUAGGGAUGGCAGGGUUUGGAACCUGGCAGAGGGGAGAGCAGCUGCCUCUGGAACAGGACCCCUGACCUGGAAAACCCUG
rnacentral:lncRNA from 1 species